GACGAACGCUGGCGGCGUGCUUAACACAUGCAAGUCGAACGGAAAGGCCCUGCUUUUGUGGGGUGCUCGAGUGGCGAACGGGUGAGUAACACGUGAGUAACCUGCCCUUGACUUUGGGAUAACUUCAGGAAACUGGGGCUAAUACCGGAUAGGAGCUCCUGCUGCAUGGUGGGGGUUGGAAAGUUUCGGCUGUUGGGGAUGGACUCGCGGCUUAUCAGCUUGUUGGUGGGGUAGUGGCUUACCAAGGCUUCGACGGGUAGCCGGCCUGAGAGGGUGACCGGGGACAAUGGGACUGAGAGAGGGACCAGACUGCAACGGGGGGCAGCAGUGGGGAAUAUGGCACAAUGGGCGGGAGCCUGAGGCAGCAACGCCGGGGGCGGGAUGACGGCCUUCGGGUUGUAAAACGCUUUCGCCUGUGACGAAGCGGGAGUGACGGUAAUGGGUGAAGAAGCACCGGCUAACUACGUG
rnacentral:rRNA from 1 species